ACAUACGACCAUAGGGUGUGGAGAACAGGGCUUCCCGUCCGCUCAGCCGUACUUAAGCCACACGCCGGAAGGUUAGUAGUUGGGUGGGUGACCACCAGCGAAUCCCUUCUGUUGUAUGUU
rfam:Aspergillus flavus NRRL3357 scf_1106286419476 genomic scaffold, whole genome shotgun sequence.